rnacentral:rRNA from 1 species
AUGCCUUACGAUGAGCGGUAUACACCAUACAUCAAGCAGGCAGGACUACUCCCAUGGAUUCAGUUGGUCAGCCGGUCCACGCCGAAUCUGAACGCUCCAUUGGUGUCCGCUCUUGUUGAUCGGUGGAGGCCGGAGACACACAGUUUCCAUCUUUGGACUGGGGAGAUGACCGUGAUGCUCGAGGAUGUCUCGUUGAUCACCGGUCUUGCUAUCGACAGGAGGCCUCUCUGUAUGAGCACCGAUUCUGAUGGGUGGCGCGAGCAGAUGAUUGCUCUUAUCGGUAUGGCUCCUACUGAGGCUCAGGCUGAUGUAGAGGAGGGAGAAGAGAAGAAGAAGAGGGAAAUGAAAGCAGCCGGAGCUGCUUUCACGUGGAUUCAAAAUAACUUUGCAACGUGCCUUCCGGAUGCCACUGAUGAUGUGAUCUAG